rnacentral:rRNA from 1 species
CCUACGGGAGGCUGCAGUGAGGAAUAUUGCACAAUGGGCGCAAGCCUGAUGCAGCCAUGCCGCGUGUGUGAAGAAGGCCUUCGGGUUGUAAAGCACUUUCAGCGGGGAGGAAGGCGGUGAGGUUAAUAACCUCAUCGAUUGACGUUACCCGCAGAAGAAGCACCGGCUAACUCCGUGCCAGCAGCCGCGGUAAUACGGAGGGUGCAAGCGUUAAUCGGAAUUACUGGGCGUAAAGCGCACGCAGGCGGUCUGUCAAGUCGGAUGUGAAAUCCCCGGGCUCAACCUGGGAACUGCAUUCGAAACUGGCAGGCUAGAGUCUUGUAGAGGGGGGUAGAAUUCCAGGUGUAGCGGUGAAAUGCGUAGAGAUCUGGAGGAAUACCGGUGGCGAAGGCGGCCCCCUGGACAAAGACUGACGCUCAGGUGCGAAAGCGUGGGGAGCAAACAGGAUUAGAUACCCGAGUAGUC